GGCGGUGAAUAUUGCACAAUGGGCGCAAGCCUGAUGCAGCCAUGCCGCGUGUGUGAAGAAGGCCUUCGGGUUGUAAAGCACUUUCAGUCGUGAGGAAGGUAGUGUAGUUAAUAGCUGCAUUAUUUGACGUUAGCGACAGAAGAAGCACCGGCUAACUCCGUGCCAGCAGCCGCGGUAAAUAAAAAAA
rnacentral:rRNA from 1 species